AAAAUGUAUGCUUGAAAGGCAAAAUGAUUUAUUUGUGCCUCACAACCAAUUAACAAUGAAGAUAAUUCAGAAAAAGGGAGCAAUGAGCUUAGGAUGAAAAGCUAGAGAAGAGGUAAGAGUUGACCUGGAUGGGAUGUGAAGAGCUGGCAGAGCAAAGGCAGGCAUCCCAAAUGGAGAGAACCUGAGGAGAGUGCAGACCUCUUGUGGAAGGUAGAACUGAGUGUGGACAAACCUGGAGUAAGAGGGAUAUUAUCACUGCUUUAAAGGAGAGUACUAUGCAUGAAGGAAGUAUUUAAGUGAUGCUUGUUGCAUUGAGCUGAUAAGGACAUACUGCUACAGACUCAGCAAUUGAGUUGAUUUUGUGGAUGGCACGGUCACUCUCUCAGCCAUGCUGGGGCACAACCUUAAAUAGGAGUCUAAGUGGGAACAUGGAACUCACGAAAGUGGCACUCCGCAGGACGGGGUCUC
rnacentral:lncRNA from 1 species